AAUUAAUUAUUGCUACUCAAGUUUCACGCCUUAUUCAAGACGAUCUUCAGGCAAUUAAUUCAGUUAGUGUUUGAUUCGUCAAUCAAACACUAACUGAAUUAAUUGCCUGAAGAUCGUCUUGAAUAAGGCGUGAAACUUGAGUAGCAAUAAUUAAUU